ACUUUUUACCUUGGAGAAAGUAGACAUUAUAUUUGAGUGGGUUUAAGAGCUGACAUCAUUUCUACAAAGGCUCCUUGUCCAGUUGCUGGGAUUGUGGUUCAUGUCCACAAAAGAAUAACAGGAGACAAUUUUAGGACUUCCUGGAGCUGCAGUUAAGGCCAACUGAAGCUUCAGGGUGGAUCAUCUUAUCCUUAUCUCGUGUGAUAUCAAUUCAUCAUAUCACCUAAUGAGGCUCAAAAUAACUUGUCCUGGGAAAAAUUGUACCAAAAAGAUCAUCUUUUGGAAAGUUAUUCUCUCCCUCUCCCCCAAUGAUUACAACACAGACUGUGCUUUAGAUCGACACAACACUGCCUUUCUGAAAGCGGGAUGCCCCAUCACCUCCAGGGGUGCCUUCCUCCCCAACAGGUUUGGCCUUUCAUUGGUAGCUCAAGCUCUCCAGAUCUCAAAUCUGGCUUGUUGUUUUUUUCCAGCCAUUCGUUGAAAAAAACACAUCCUUGGUAGAAAUGUCCAUUGUCAAUGGAGUGCCAAUAAAGUAAUUUUUCUGGCGGUUUCUA